rnacentral:rRNA from 1 species
GUUUAGUCAUGGCUCAGAUUGAACAACUGGCGGGAUGCUUUACACGUACAAGUCGAACGACACCGUAGCACGAGGCUUCGGUCUGGUGGCGAGUGGCGAACGGGUGAGUAAUGUAUCGGAACGUGCCUAGUAGCGGGGGAUAACUACGCCGAAAGCGUAGCUAAUACACCGCCCUUCCGGGGGAAAGCGGGGACCUUCGGGCUCUUUUCAAUGAGCAGCCGAUAUCGAGGUUGGCUAGUUGGUGGGGUAACGGCUCCGCCAGGCGACGAUCCGUAGCUGGUUUGAGAGGACGACCAAUACACUGGGACUGAACGGCCGAACUCUGCGGGAGGCGGCAGUGGGGAAUUUUGGACAAUGGAAACCCUACAGUCCAGCCAUCCGACGUGCGAUGAAGGCCUUCCAGGUUUAUACAAAGCACUUUUGGCAGGAAAGAAACAGCACAGGGUAAUACCCCGUGCAACUGACGAGCACCUGCAGAAUAAGCACCGGCUAACUACGUGCCAGCAGCCGCGGUAAUGCGUGAGUGCAAGCGAUUAAUCAAGGAAUUACUGGGCGUAAAGCGUGCGCGAGCGUUCGGAAAGAACGAUGUGAAAUCUGAAACAACUUUGCAGACUGCAAUUUUAACACAAAGAGCUUCCGGCUGUGUCAGAGGAGAGUGGAAUUCCGCGUGUAACGUAGAAAAUGCGUAGAUAUGCGGAGGAACACCGAUGGCGAAGGCAAUAUCCUGGGAUAACUUACUGACUGACUCAUGCUGAAAGCGAUGGGGAGCAAACGGGAUUAGAUGCCUGGUGAUCACCUAAACGAUAUCCAACUAGCUGUUGGGGCCUUGAGACGUAUUGACGCAGCUAACGCGUGGGAAGUUGACCGCCUGGGAGUACAGUCGCAAGAUUAAACUCAAGGAAUUGACGGAGGACCCGCACAAGCGGUGGAUGAUGUGGAUUAAUUCGAUGCAACGCAAAAACCUUACCUACCCUUGACAUGUCUGGAAUCCCGAAGAGAUUUGGGAGUGCUCUCAAGAGAACCGGAACACCGGUGCUGCCGCGGCUGUCAUCAGCUCGUGUCGUGAGAUGUUGGGUUAAGUCCCAUAACGAGCGCAACCUUGUCGUAGUUGCUACGAAAGGGCACUCUGGCGAGACUGCCGGUGACAACCGGAGGAAGGUGGGGAUGACGUCAUUCCUCGCUAAGCCGCCAUGGGUAAGACCACACGUCAUACAAUGGUCGGGACCAGAGGUCGCCAACCCGCGAAGAGGCCAAUCCCGAAACUUUGAUCGUAGUCCGGAUCGCAGUCUGCGCAACUCGACUGCGUGAAGUCCGGAAUCUUCAGUAAUCGCGGAUCAGCAUGUCGCAGUGAAUACGUUCCCGGGUCUUGUACACCGCCCGUCACACCAUAGAGUGGGUUUACCAAGUAGUUAGCCUAACCGCGAGGAGGGCGAUUACCACGGUAAGUUCCAUGACUGGGGUGAAGUCGUAAACAAGGUAG